rnacentral:snoRNA from 1 species
AACCCAUGGUGAGGGCACCUUUUCAACAGGUCCUUGUAUCUCUCCCAUGCAUCUCAGAGUGUUUCUAGAUCCAUCUGCACAAAAGAAGAGAUAUCAUUCCUUAAUUU